rnacentral:lncRNA from 1 species
AGGUCUGAGUUCCAGGUCUACCACAUUUAGACCUGGCUGAGGUCCAGAAUCAUCCCUUAGCCAGGUUUCCCUGCUAUACCCUACCCUGAAGUACUAACAACAGGCAGGACCAAGUCCUACGCUUAUGGUUCUUAGUCUCCAGAGCCCAUCGUCCUAAGAAACCACUACAAAGACCCUGCCCUGUGAUACUUAGGUAGACAGUACCUUAGAUGGUCUGCAGACUGCCAGGCCAUCCCCACCUCUGUGGAACAGGGAAGUGUCAGAGGCUGCUGGCAUGAGCAAGAGCCCUCCAGAGCCAAGACCUAAGCACUCAUGAGCUCAGGGAGCGACUGUGGGCGUAGUUACCAAGAAUCCAACCGCGAGCUAGUAAGACAACAGGGUGCUGAAAGUGGUGGUCUCUGACGACUUCCGGGUGCCAGGAAUGGAGCAGGGUCCCCCUUGUCCUCAUCCCUAGGCCUAUGGACCCCAGCACCCGAAUAGCUCUUACUCUUGUCCUUCUGUUUCUAUCUUGUGUCCGGAGUGUGUCUAUAUCUUCCAGACCUCAUUGUGCCAUGUUGCUAAUCAGUGUUUUGUGGUUUGUUUUGUUGGUUUGGGUUUUGUUGUUGUUGUUGUUUUGUUUCUGUUUUUGUACUGAGAUGUAUCUGAGCACUUUAGAAAAGCUGACUUUUAAGUUCCCACUCUGUGAAGAGAACAUUCCAGUACCUAACAAGAGCUGGGUGGGCUCACCACCAGACACCAUGACUUUUUGGAUUUAGAAGUUCAAAUGGUUUCCACUUGGCCCUGGGAAGGAUUCAGUGUAUCCCCCACCAGGUGGCCAGGUGGUUCUCAGCUGUGUACUGUAAACAGUAGGACAGUGUCAUCAGUUACCUGUCACCAGCAGCCAUGGGUCCCUUCCUGGCAGAUCUCAUUUGUGAAGAUGGUGAGCCAGCAGCAUUCAAUCUCCCUUGUCAAUCGUGUCCAUGAUCUUCGCCUACCCCUGAUUAUUUUCACAGCGAUAGCAGAGCAUCCUGGCAACAGGGUAUUCUGGAACCACGCUAGAACUUGUGACCAGAUUCUAGCAAUAAAAUUAUCCAGAGCAUCU